rnacentral:tRNA from 1 species
GGGCCCGUAGCUCAGGCAGGUAGAGCGUCAGACUAUUUAACCAAUAGGAUGAAGCUCUUAACUUGAUGGACUGAAGUAGUCUUCUACUUCAGGUUGAAUCAAGGGUUCGAUUCCCUUCGGGCCCG